rnacentral:rRNA from 1 species
CACGUAGGGCGCAAGCGUUGUCCGGAAUUAUUGGGCGUAAAGAGCUCGUAGGCGGUCUGUCGCGUCGGCUGUGAAAACCCGGAGCUCAACUCCGGGCCUGCAGUCGAUACGGGCAAACUGGAGUGUUGCAGGGGAGACUGGAAUUCCUGGUGUAGCGGUGAAAUGCGCAGAUAUCAGGAGGAACACCGGUGGCGAAGGCGGGUCUCUGGGCCGAUACUGACGCUGAGGCGCGAAAGCUAGGGGAGCAAACGGG